rnacentral:rRNA from 1 species
AGUCGAGCGAGCUUGCCUAGAUGAGUUUGGUGCUUGCACCAGAUGAAACUAGAUACAAGCGAGCGGCGGACGGGUGAGUAACACGUGGGUAACCUGCCCAAGAGACUGGGAUAACACCUGGAAACAGAUGCUAAUACCGGAUAACAACACUAGACGCAUGUCUAGAGUUUAAAAGAUGGUUCUGCUAUCACUCUUGGAUGGACCUGCGGUGCAUUAGCUAGUUGGUAAGGUAACGGCUUACCAAGGCAAUGAUGCAUAGCCGAGUUGAGAGACUGAUCGGCCACAUUGGGACUGAGACACGGCCCAAACUCCUACGGGAGGCAGCAGUAGGGAAUCUUCCACAAUGGACGCAAGUCUGAUGGAGCAACGCCGCGUGAGUGAAGAAGGGUUUCGGCUCGUAAAGCUCUGUUGGUAGUGAAGAAAGAUAGAGGUAGUAACUGGCCUUUAUUUGACGGUAAUUACUUAGAAAGUCACGGCUAACUACGUGCCAGCAGCCGCGGUAAUACGUAGGUGGCAAGCGUUGUCCGGAUUUAUUGGGCGUAAAGCGAGUGCAGGCGGUUCAAUAAGUCUGAUGUGAAAGCCUUCGGCUCAACCGGAGAAUUGCAUCAGAAACUGUUGAACUUGAGUGCAGAAGAGGAGAGUGGAACUCCAUGUGUAGCGGUGGAAUGCGUAGAUAUAUGGAAGAACACCAGUGGCGAAGGCGGCUCUCUGGUCUGCAACUGACGCUGAGGCUCGAAAGCAUGGGUAGCGAACAG